AUUGAACGCUGGCGGAAGGAUGAACACAUGCAAGUCGAGCGGAUGAAGGGAGCUUGCUCCUGGAUUCAGCGGCGGACGGGUGAGUAAUGCCUAGGAAUCUGCCUGGUAGUGGGGGAUAACGUCCGGAAACGGGCGCUAAUACCGCAUACGUCCUGAGGGAGAAAGUGGGGGAUCUUCGGACCUCACGCUAUCAGAUGAGCCUAGGUCGGAUUAGCUAGUUGGUGGGGUAAAGGCCUACCAAGGCGACGAUCCGUAACUGGUCUGAGAGGAUGAUCAGUCACACUGGAACUGAGACACGGUCCAGACUCCUACGGGAGGCAGCAGUGGGGAAUAUUGGACAAUGGGCGAAAGCAUGAUCCAGCCAUGCCGCGUGUGUGAAGAAGGGCUUCGGAUUGUAAAGCACUUUAAGUUGGGAGGAAGGGCAGUAAGUUAAUACCUUGCUGUUUUGACGUUACCAACAGAAUAAGCACCGGCUAACUUCGUG
rnacentral:rRNA from 1 species